UACGUAGGGUGCGAGCGUUGCCCGGAUUUAUUGGGCGUAAAGGGCGCGUAGGCGGUCACGCACGUCCGUUGUGAAAUCGCUCGGCUCAACUGGGCGGGGUCAGCGGAUACGGCGUGGCUGGAGCAAGCUAGGGGGCAAUGGAAUUCCCGGUGUAGUGGUGGAAUGCGUAGAUAUCGGGAGGAACACCAGUGGCGAAAGCGCGUGACUGGGCCACAACUGACGCUGAGGAACGAAAGCCAGGGGAGCGAAAGGG
rnacentral:rRNA from 1 species